GUUUUAAUGCCUUUUUCUCCCUUUCGCGGUGCAAAGCAAAAGUAAAAACCUCGGAGAAUAGAAGAGUUAUUUGCAGAAUGCUAGACUGUGGCACAUAACACUUAAAUACCGGAAAUGAAAGUAACCUUCGUACAACGCAGGCGUUAGAGUCCUACAGACGGAAGUGUUUGCAUGAAAUCAUAUUAUAAGGAACUGAGGGUGAUGUACAGAAUUUCGCAUUACAUUCUCUCUCUCGUUUUUUUAAACAACUGAAGAUUGGUUACUUUUUGAUGGAAGUCCCGAAAUGACGUUUUAAUAUGUACAAUCAUUUAGAUGAUAGUUUUUUAAUUAUAUUUUGCUUCAUGAAGUUUCUAUGUAUUUCAAAAGAAUCUGACGAAGGCCAGUCUUCUGCAAGAAAUAUACUAUUUUAGAGAACGGUUAUUAACAGCGGCGUAGCAAGAACUUCUGCCAUCGAAGGGAUCUGUUUGCUGUUGUUUUUCUGCCAGCAAAAUCGUCAACGACGCUCUAAAAAUUUUCUCUAAUACUCCAGUUGCUUUGGUUCUGCAAAUAGUACAGUUAAAAUUUCUUAAAAGUAAGA